UGAAGAGGAACGGCUGUAAAAAUGACAGGGAAAGUUGUCCGAGCAGGAAAGUUGUCGAAGAGGCAUCGCCCCGCCGUUGUGGGGGUCCCUGUCUGGAACAAUACGUCCUGACGGCUUGUCCUGCUGCGGGAUAGUUAUAUGCCGGCAGAAAUUGGCAGCCCAUCUGAGCUGUUGACUGACCAGGUUACAGAGGAUGCAAUUACUGUUUCCUGAGCACAGUCCAGGCUUGAACAGACAGAGUGAGUGAGCUACACCUCAGCUGAAGGGGAGACAGAGGAAAAAGAGGUGGCAAAAGGCAAUAAUGUCUCUACCCUGGCAGGACCGAAGCCAGGUACGGAAUACAUAAUUUAUAUCUGGGCAGAGAAGGCAGAACAGCAGAGCAAGAGGGCCAGCACUGAGGCUGUGAGAGAAAACUUCUGGCUCACCUGGCUGUGCCUCAGUGCCUUACCUUGCCUUUCUCCACUCCUCCAUCAUCAAUACCAAUGAAGUGAUUAGCCACUGAGACCCAGUGUUAAGACCUAUACAAGUUAGUCCUUGUCAUCCUUUGUUUCCUGAGGGUAGGAAAACAAAAAUUUCAAGGGAAGGGUGUGUGCCUUUUUACUCUACACUUUAUUUCAUAAUAAUGGACAGUCCAAAGAGUCUGGUAACUCACCAAGUGACAGAAGACUAAGCCACCAUCUCCUGGGACAGAGUCCAAGCUCCUGGAGACGGGUAUGUGGUGAGCUACACUUCUGCUGCUGGGCACACCAAGGAAACAGAAGGAAGGAAACAGAAAUGGGGAAGGACAGGGGCAUUACCACCCUUCCAAGACUGAAGCCUAGCAUGAAGUUCACCAUCCACCUCUGGGCAGAUCUGGGGGGCAAGCAGAGUGAGAAGGCAAGCACUGACACUCUGACAGGUAUGAAAAUGAAGGCACCUGCAAAUUUUGCAUGAAGUGAAACUGCAGAGAGGAGGAACCCAGGAGAGCAGGGCGCUCCGUCGUGUGACUUCACUGGCGGUCAGAUUUGUUGGAGGAUCCAAAACUGCAAGAAUAGAUAGGGACCCAAGGAAGUGCAG